AGAGAUAGCAGGUUUUACUUGAAAGGGAACAAAUGCAUCAUUAAACUGAUUUUCCACCUCUUUGCCUCAAUUCCUGGCACAAAGGAUGCUGUAACUGUCACACCUUGCUGUGGUGCUGAAGAAACAGAGCAGCUGAAAUGAGACAUCCCCAUGCCCACAUCACUGCUGUCAGUGUUACCAACCUGCUCUUCUGCUUCCCAAGCAGCCUUUGAAGGAGGCUGUGACUCACUUGUCUCUCCCUGUCACUUCCUCACACCCCUAAAACCCUUCCUGAAUCCUUUGGGAUCAAGUUCCUACCCCUGCCUGCUUGCCAGCUGUCCCACUUUUACCCCUUUUUCAGCUCUGCUUCUUCUAGGUGAAUUGCCUAUCAGCUAUAUGGAUAAAGAACUGCAAACUCUGAGGAAGAUUCCUACUGGUUCUCUUCUUUGCCUUGUUUUGCUACUCACAACAUGAAAGGGAGAUAUGAAUUCUGAGUAUUUCCUGCAGAUGGAUGAACAAUUGAGCAGGAAGGAGGAGUGAAACCAUUUAAUGCUUUCCAGGAAAAGCUUUCUGUUCAACUUUCUAUUCAAAUGCCACAGCACUUGCUCCACCACUGCAGAAAUAAUGUAAUCAAGAGUCAGUAUUUUAAUAAAGUCAUUAUUUCAUUUAGUCUGUAGUUGUGUUAACCAACAGACCAGUUCUUACUAUUCUGGCCAGGAACCUGGAGUAGUAUUUUCUCACUGGAAACUGAGAAUUAGAAGCCACAAUCUCAUCUAGCAAAUCCUUCUUGAAUGCAUCAGGAAAAGGUGGUCGGUGGCCUGAAAGCUGGAAUACACACACACUCAAUUACUCAAAAACUUUACACAGAAUGCUUUGCAUAAUUUAAACUGGUAAUAUCUUGUUAAAUUCAGAGGUGAACAGAAACUGAUGAGAACUGUCUAAUGGUAAGAUACAAAAUGGGUAACUCACACACAGGAAAAUUAAAAAAACCCCAAACAAAUUACAGGACCGAAACAAAUUCAAACAACAGGAUUUAUUAAAAACAUAACU